CAACUUUCAGCAAUGGAUCUCUUGGUUCUCGCAUCGAUGAAGAACGCAGCGAAUUGCGAUAAGUAAUGUGAAUUGCAGAUUUUCAGUGAAUCAUCGAAUCUUUGAACGCACCUUGCGCCCCUUGGUAUUCCGAGGAGCAUGCCUGUUUGAGUGUCAUUU
rnacentral:rRNA from 1 species